CAGUCGCCACGGUAAUACGUAGGGUGCGAGCGUUAAUCGGAAUUACUGGGCGUAAAGCGUGCGCAGGCGGUUUUGUAAGACAGGCGUGAAAUCCCCGGGCUCAACCUGGGAAUGGCGCUUGUGACUGCAAAGCUAGAGUGCGGCAGAGGGGGAUGGAAUUCCGCGUGUAGCAGUGAAAUGCGUAGAUAUGCGGAGGAACACCGAUGGCGAAGGCAAUCCCCUGGGCCUGCACUGACGCUCAUGCACGAAAGCGUGGGGAGCAAACAGGAUUAGAUACCCGUGUAGUCCCUGUCUCUUAUAA
rnacentral:rRNA from 1 species